rnacentral:rRNA from 1 species
UGAUCAAGCUCGCUUCAGCCGAGACUUUUUUUCUGGUUAUGCUAUAGGUGGCUUCGGUCGUUUAUAGUCUCUAGCCAGAUGAUUACCAUGAGCAAAUCAGAGUGUUUAAAGCAGGCUUUUAAGCUUGAAUGUGUUAGCAUGGAAUAAUGAAAUAUGACUUUAGUUCUUAUUUCGUUGGUUCAGGAACUUAAGUAAUGAUGAAUAGAAACGGUUGGGGGCAUUUGUAUUUGGUCGCUAGAGGUGAAAUUCUUGGAUUGACCGAAGACAAACUACUGCGAAAGCAUUUGACCCAGGACGUUUUCAUUGAUCAAGGUCUAAAGUUAAGGGAUCGAAGACGAUUAGAUACCGUCGUAGUCUUAACCACAAACUAUGCCGACUAGAGAUUGGGCUUGUUUAUUAUGACUAGCUCAGCAUCUUAGCGAAAGUAAAGUUUUUGGGUUCUGGGGGGAGUAUGGGACGCAAGGCUGAAACUUAAAGAAAUUGACGGAAGGGCACCACCAGGGGUGGAACCUGCGGCUUAAUUUGACUCAACACGGGGAAACUCACCAGGUCCAGACACAAUGAGGAUUGACAGAUUGAGAGCUCUUUCUUGAUUUUGUGGGUGGUGGUGCAUGGCCGUUCUUAGUUGGUGGAGUGAUUUGUCUGCUUAAUUGCGAUAACGAACGAGACCUUAACCUACUAACUAGCCCGUAUUGCUCAGGCAGUACGCCGGCUUCUUAGAGGGACUAUCGGCUCAAGCCGAUGGAAG